UGAAAAGAGCAAAGUGCUGAAUGAGGGCACGUUUCUGAUUUCAGUGUGAGAUGACGGAGAAGCUCGGGUCCAAACUGCAGCAGAAGGUUUGUUGGUGUGAAACUCAACAUGAGGCUCUGUGAUGAACGGAAGGUCAAGCGGACGGCAAAGUCUGUGGCCUCCAGCUGCUCCAGGAUCAUCUUCAGCCUCCGACACCGGCCUGCACAUGAUGACAAAAAGACCAGCCGAGUGGAGUUUCCAACAGCCAUUUACCUGCUGAUGAAACAGAAUCAACAGCUGAUCGAUUUCAACCUCAACCUGGAACCUUCGGUCACAAAACUUGUGUGCGUGAGGACGAGCAGUAAGGAUAUCCCUCCGUGUUUCUAGACUCCAGCCUGACUGUUACAGUUAUGAUGCCGUCUAGAGGAAUGAACCCCUGUGGAGUGACCUCUAGAUGGGAAACCUCAGACCUCAUUAUUCCAGUCGUGAGGUGAGAAAUCUCUCCUACAAGUUGGACAUCAGCAGCACUUCAUGUGAUGAAGGUUGUUUCAACUCCGGAAAUGAAAAUCAAUCAACAAAUUGUAAUCAUGUCUGAAUUGGUUAGUUUACAUUGGUAC